AUUGAACGCUGGCGGCAGGCUUAACACAUGCAAGUCGAGCGGGGUGAUGGUGCUUGCACUAUCACUUAGCGGCGGACGGGUGAGUAAUGCUUAGGAAUCUGCCUAUUAGUGGGGGACAACAUCUCGAAAGGGAUGCUAAUACCGCAUACGUCCUACGGGAGAAAGCAGGGGAUCACUUGUGACCUUGCGCUAAUAGAUGAGCCUAAGUCGGAUUAGCUAGUUGGUGGGGUAAAGGCCUACCAAGGCGACGAUCUGUAGCGGGUCUGAGAGGAUGAUCCGCCACACUGGGACUGAGACACGGCCCAGACUCCUACGGGAGGCAGCAGUGGGGAAUAUUGGACAAUGGGGGGAACCCUGAUCCAGCCAUGCCGCGUGUGUGAAGAAGGCCUUAUGGUUGUGAAGCACUUUAAGUGAGGAGGAGGCUCUUUUGGUUAAUACCCAAGAUGAGUGGACGUUACUCGCAGAAUAAGCACCGGCUAACUCUGUGCCAGCAGCAGCCGCGG
rnacentral:rRNA from 1 species